rfam:Aggregatibacter actinomycetemcomitans D11S-1, complete genome.
CGUGCGGUGUCAGGGAUUGCUUCUGCGAUUGGCUUGAUAGCGGCAUGGCUUCAAAUUUGAGGU